CCUACGGGAGGCUGCAGUGGGGAAUAUUGCACAAUGGGGGAAACCCUGAUGCAGCGACGCCGCGUGAGUGAAGAAGUAUUUCGGUAUGUAAAGCUCUAUCAGCAGGGAAGAAAAUGACGGUACCUGAGUAAGAAGCCCCGGCUAACUACGUGCCAGCAGCCGCGGUAAUACGUAGGGGGCAAGCGUUAUCCGGAUUUACUGGGUGUAAAGGGAGCGUAGACGGCAGCACAAGUCUGGCGUGAAAUGCCGGGGCUUAACCCCGGAACUGCUUUGGAAACUGUGCAGCUAGAGUGCAGGAGAGGUAAGUGGAAUUCCUAGUGUAGCGGUGAAAUGCGUAGAUAUUAGGAGGAACACCAGUGGCGAAGGCGGCUUACUGGACUGUAACUGACGUUGAGGCUCGAAAGCGUGGGGAGCAAACAGGAUUAGAUACCCGAGUAGUC
rnacentral:rRNA from 1 species